GUGGGGAAUAUUGGACAAUGGGGGGAACCCUGAUCCAGCCAUGCCGCGUGUGUGAAGAAGGCCUUUUGGUUGUAAAGCACUUUAAGUGGGGAGGAGGCUUACCUGGUUAAUACCUGGGCUAAGUGGACGUUACCCACAGAAUAAGCACCGGCUAACUCUGUGCCAGCAGCCGCGGUAAUACAGAGGGUGCGAGCGUUAAUCGAAUUUACUGGGCGUAAAGCGCGCAGAGGUGGCCAAUUAAGUCAAAUGUGAAAUCCCCGAGCUUAACUUGGGAAUUGCAUUCGAUACUGGUUGGCUAGAGUAUGGGAGAGGAUGGUAGAAUUCCAGGUGUAGCGGUGAAAUGCGUAGAGAUCUGGAGGAAUACCGAUGGCGAAGGCAGCCAUCUGGCCUAAUACUGACACUGAGGUGCGAAAGCAUGGGGAGCAAACAGGAUUAGAAACCCUAGUAGUCC
rnacentral:rRNA from 1 species